UCUUGGCCCUUCAUCUGAUCUAAUGGAUGAAAACUGGUCAGUAACUUUGAAAUUUAAAAUUCAAAUUUUAAACCCAUCUGACCAAAAUUUUAAAAUUCAAAUUUUAAACUUAUCCAACCAAACAUACCAAUACCCCUAAAAGAAGACGUGAACACAAAGUUUAAAGAGGAAGUCGCAUGUUUGGGUUUUUUGGUCGGAUGGGUUUAACCCCGCCGGAGAAUCGGUCGCACCCAGGUGGAAGCUGACCUCGGGCCGCCCGCACGCGUCGGUUGCCGAACCAGCGCCUGAGCAUGGGGAGCACGGAGAGUCCUCCGGGCGCCUGGGCUUCCACUGCCGGAGAAUCUGUCGCCGAACCACAUCAGCCCACGCCACACCCAGAUGGAAGCCGACCUCGGGCCGCCCGGGACCCCUGGGCUGCGCCGUCCGGUAGGUCCGAACCACGUCCUUCGAAUCCGGGAGGGUUUCUGCGGGCGGCGGUGAGGGGAUCUCAUUGAGAUCGAUUCCGAGCCCCACGGGCUUUGGGUUCGGGUUCGGGUUCUCCUUGGGUUCUUCGCUUGAAUCAGCCUGCUUGUGAUGUGGCUAUAUCAAGUCUAGGAUGGAUUUCUGUUGAACCAGUGAGCAAAUCAAUCAAAAUAUCUGAUCCAAAUUUAGAGGAAACAAACACAGAACUGCAGUUAACUGUCCAUGUUCCCAAUGCCCAUGGCCAAAGUUGGAGCAGAGUGGUAUCAAGAGUUGACAGAGAAGGAAGAAGAAGCAAGACCAAAGUGCUACUUUUGAUGCUGGUGGAUCCAUGAUCAAUAUAUAUAUAAUCAAUUUGCUUAUUGUAAGAAUAUUGUACUUCUUUUUUGGGGUUGAAUGUAAAAGGAUAGUGUAUUAUUUUUUUUCAAUAUAGAAUGUGAAUGGUUGGAAUGAUUCA